CCAGAGGCCACAUGCUAGAGAACUAAUGUCAUGAAUGCCUAAAUGAGAAAGUUAAUAUUUGGAGUAUUAAAUUCAAUAAAAAAAAUUGGAACUGGUUACGAGUGUAGUGAUGCAUGUGCAAAAACAACACUGAUUUUUUUGGGAUAAUGUUACACAACUAAUUAAACAUGAACAUAUAUGUACAAAAAACAGCACUGAUUUAUGUUUAUCAAAGUGGUGUAUUUAUUACAAUGUGUGCAUAUGCAGCUAGCUAGGGAGGCAUCAAUGCAGUACUCGCUCAUUCUUUCUUAAUUACAAACUAUAAUGUAUUUAUAUACUAUCAUACAAAGAUUCUAAUUAAUUAAGAGGUAUUCUUAGAUCUUAUAUAUUGCAACCUUGUGGAAGAUCAUCAUCUUCUUCUGAAACUUCCAGGGGCAGAAGAGGCUUUUACCUCAGAGUUAAACUCUUCAUCAGGAAGCUUAACAGCAGUGUAAUUACAAUAACUCUGAUCAUGUACUUUUAAACAAUUUUAGUAUGACUCAAAUAAACUCUCUGUAGGUACACAAUGCAAAGAACCUUAUUUAUUUUGCAGACAAAAAUUAGGUACACUUCUAACCUGGCAUUUCUACAUCAAAUCAAAUGAACCUAAAAAUUAGGUACACUUAUGACCUGACAAAAAUGAGAGUGAGAGACAGAGAGAGAUAGAAUUGCAUUGCAUACUUGUUUGAUUGGAACUUAUGUAGAGCACCAAUGUACAACUUCCUAGUGUAUGGACCUAGAUUCCCUACCAUACUACAACAUGGGAUUUGGAUUUACUGCAGUCACAAAUUCACGUAGUUAGCACAUCAGUGACCGUUGAGUUCAAAUCGGAUCGUACAUAAUGUAAGUAGUUUUUUUUUUUUCAUUCUAAAAUACCGAGCUUGAAAUAUGGACCUUCCGAAUUCAGAUCUUAAUUUAACGGUCUUCGAUGUAUUAAUUGCGUGAAUGCGUGAAAUUUGUGGUUGCAACAAAUCCUAUUUAACAUGAUCUAAAUUAAUAUCAGCGGCUAAAAGAUUAUUCUAUCGGUCAUUAGAUUAAUCCAACGACUAAUUUAUUUUUUAGUAUCCAGUCUAAGGAUCGACUAAUCUGACAACUAGUACAUUCUACUUUUUUUUUAAUGACUUUAUUAUUCUCUUCACACUUGCCUCUCUACAUUUUUGGUAUUUUUAUCUACUUUUUAUUGGUAUAUUCAUGACUAUAGGUUAUGACUUAUGAUAUGCUAGAUAAGAUCAAAAGCCUACUUUUUAAAUUUCAGAAUAAUGUAUUCUUGUAGAAUGGACUUGUCUUAUAAAAGGUGUGGUAUCACUAGAUUAUCAUACACCAUGCAAAAUUUGCGUCUAAUUACAAUAACCCUGAUCAUGUACUUUUAAACAAUAUUAGUAUGACUCAAAUAAACUCUCUGUAGGUACACAAUGCAAAGAACCUUAUUUAUUUCUCAGACAAAAAUUAGGUACACUUCUAACCUGGCAUUUCUACAUCAAAUCAAAUGAACCUAAAAAUUAGGUACACUUCUAACCUGACAAAAAUGAGAGUGAGAGACAGAGAGAGAUAGAAUUGCAUUGCAUACUUGUUUGAUUGGAACUUAUGUAGAGCACCAAUGUACAACUUCCUAGUGUAUGGACCUAGAUUCCCUACCGUACUACAACAUGGGAUUUGGAUUUACUGCAGUCACAAAUUCACGUAGUUAGCACAUCAGUGACCGUUGAGUUGAAAUCGGAUCGUACAUAAUGUAAGUAGUUUUUUUUUU
rnacentral:lncRNA from 1 species